UGCAGCAACGCCGCGUGAGUGAUGAAGGCCUUCGGGUCGUAAAACUCUGUCCUCAAGGAAGAUAAUGACGGUACUUGCGGAGGAAGCCCCGGCUAACUACGUGCCAGCAGCCGCGGUAAUACGUAGAAGCCCCGGCUAACUACGUGCCAGCAGCCGCGGUAAUACGUAGGGGGCAAGCGUUAUCCGGAUUUACUGGGUGUAAAGGGAGC
rnacentral:rRNA from 1 species